CGGAAAAGAGGAGUGGCGAACGGGUGAGUAACACGUGGGUAACCUGCCCAUCAGAAGGGGAUAACACUUGGAAACAGGUGCUAAUACCGUAUAACAAUCGAAACCGCAUGGUUUUGAUUUGAAAGGCGCUUUCGGGUGUCGCUGAUGGAUGGACCCGCGGUGCAUUAGCUAGUUGGUGAGGUAACGGCUCACCAAGGCGACGAUGCAUAGCCGACCUGAGAGGGUGAUCGGCCACAUUGGGACUGAGACACGGCCCAAACUCCUACGGGAGGCAGCAGUAGGGAAUCUUCGGCAAUGGACGAAAGUCUGACCGAGCAACGCCGCGUGAGUGAAGAAGGUUUUCGGAUCGUAAAACUCUGUUGUUAGAGAAGAACAAGGAUGAGAGUAACUGUUCAUCCCUUGACGGUAUCUAACCAGAAAGCCACGGCUAACUACGUGCCAGCAGCCGCGGUAAUACGUAGGUGGCAAGCGUUGUCCGGAUUUAUUGGGCGUAAAGCGAGCGCAGGCGGUUUCUUAAGUCUGAUGUGAAAGCCCCCGGCUCAACCGGGGAGGGUCAUUGGAAACUGGGAGACUUGAGUGCAGAAGAGGAGAGUGGAAUUCCAUGUGUAGCGGUGAAAUGCGUAGAUAUAUGGAGGAACACCAGUGGCGAAGGCGGCUCUCUGGUCUGUAACUGACGCUGAGGCUCGAAAGCGUGGGGAGCAAACAGGAUUAGAUACCCUGGUAGUCCACGCCGUAAACGAUGAGUGCUAAGUGUUGGAGGGUUUCCGCCCUUCAGUGCUGCAGCUAACGCAUUAAGCACUCCGCCUGGGGAGUACGACCGCAAGGUUGAAACUCAAAGGAAUUGACGGGGGCCCGCACAAGCGGUGGAGCAUGUGGUUUAAUUCGAAGCAACGCGAAGAACCUUACCAGGUCUUGACAUCCUUUGACCACUCUAGAGAUAGAGCUUCCCCUUCGGGGGCAAAGUGACAGGUGGUGCAUGGUUGUCGUCAGCUCGUGUCGUGAGAUGUUGGGUUAAGUCCCGCAACGAGCGCAACCCUUAUUGUUAGUUGCCAUCAUUUAGUUGGGCACUCUAGCAAGACUGCCGGUGACAAACCGGAGGAAGGUGGGGAUGACGUCAAAUCAUCAUGCCCCUUAUGACCUGGGCUACACACGUGCUACAAUGGGAAGUACAACGAGUCGCAAAGUCGCGAGGCUAAGCUAAUCUCUUAAAGCUUCUCUCAGUUCGGAUUGUAGGCUGCAACUCGCCUACAUGAAGCCGGAAUCGCUAGUAAUC
rnacentral:rRNA from 1 species